UACGGGAGGCAGCAGUGGGGAAUAUUGCACAAUGGGCGCAAGCCUGAUGCAGCCAUGCCGCGUGUAUGAAAAAGGCCUUCGGGUUGUAAAGUACUUUCAGUCGUGAGGAAGGUGUUAAGGUUAAUAACCUUAGCAAUUGACGUUAGCGACAGAAGAAGCACCGGCUAACUCCGUGCCAGCAGCCGCGGUAAUACGGAGGGUGCGAGCGUUAAUCGGAAUUACUGGGCGUAAAGGGCACGCAGGCGGUUAAUUAAGUUGGAUGUGAAAUCCCCGGGCUUAACCUGGGAAUGGCAUUCAAGACUGGUUAGCUAGAGUCUUGUAGAGGGGGUUAGAAUUCCAUGUGUAGCGGUGAAAUGCGUAGAGAUGUGGAGGAAUACCGAUGGCGAAGGCGGCCCCUGGACAAGACUGACGCUCAUGUGCGAAAGCGUGGGGAGCAAACAGGGAUUAGAUACC
rnacentral:rRNA from 1 species